CUAAAUCCAAGAGUUGGAAAGAGGCGUACUCAUUUGCUCGGGCCACCACAACAAGCAGCACAGGCUGGGUGGCUUAGACAGCGGAGAGUCAUUUUCUCAUCGUUCUGGAGGUUAGAAGUUUGAGAUCAGUGUGUUGGCAGCCUUGGCUUCUUCUAAGUUCUCUCUCCUUGACUUCUUGGCUCAGAGACAGCCGUCCUCCUGCAGUGUCUUCACACGGUCUUUCUUCUGUGUGUGUGUCCUGAUCUCCUCUUCUCAUAAGGCAUGUGUCAUAUUGGAUUAGGACCCACCCAUAUUGAUAUCGACCCUGAUCUCAGUUUCCUCACGUUAAUCCCAGCAUAUAUGGGGUUAAAACCAAACACUCAUUCCCUGCUUACUCUCUGGCUUCCUGGCUCCAGAAUCCACUAUCCUCCAUGGAGACAGACACCGUCAAGGACAAGCACCUGGACUAUCUCCUCCCACAAAGAGAUACAGACUGGUGGGAAAGCUGCUGACCAGCAAGGUCACAGGCUUCCUCCUCUCUGUAAAUGUCUCAAGGCCGAAGACAGGCUGGUUGGGAAAGCUCCGACCAGCAAGGCCAUAUGCUCCCCCUCCCCUACCUAAAACCCCAAAUAGAAACCCUUCCUUUUAGCUUUUCGGGGAGUUUGGGAUUUCAGCGUUAGCUGCCCUCUCUCCUUGCUCAGCACUGUGCAAAAAUAAAGUUCCUACUUUCUUCCACCACCCCCGGUGUCAGAGAUUGGCUUGCUGCGCAACGGGUGAGGGAACUCACUUCAGGUUCGGUAACAAUUUGGCACCCCACAUGGGACAGUGUCCCAGGUGGACGUCUCGCCUGUGGCACACCGGCCUCUGGCUAAAGGCCUCUCUUGGAAGCUGUCCUGCAGCUGCCUGAGCCCCUUGUCUCAGGGACAGCCCCAAGUGACUGGCUGCUAGCCAGACCUUGUUGGCCCAUGGCGCUUUUGCUUUGGUGGUGGAAGAAACCAGGUUUAGGACAUAGGAAGACGUCUCCUGUAAGUAGCUGGUAGUUUUUGUUUUUGUCUUUGUGUUAACCUUCUCCAACAGGACCGGCUGGAAAUAAUGGGUACCCUGGCAGCCCUCUGGGCUCCAUUUGUUUUGAAGUUGCCCGACGCCCCGGCCAAAUUUUGAGAAAUUCAUGGAAAGGACUCUGACACUCUGGAAUACAGGUUUCCAGUAAACGUUCAGAUUGUAAAACUAAACUGGAGUGAAGAAAACUUUUUUUCUCUAUUCUCUGAAAGAACUAUGACUUGCAACAAUUUAUAAACAAAAUUGAAACAUUUGUCUUUUCCUCCCUAUCUGAGCCCCCCAAAACGCAAAAACUUCUGAUAAGACACAAUUGGAAACAGUGGUUAUAUGACCAAGGCUUUGACUGGAACAUCGUGUUUGAAAAAACAUACGGGCUUGACUAUAACAAGACAGCUUUUGAGGAAUGAAGGUUGACAUUCUGGAAUAAAGCCACUUGGAAAUAUUGGCCUGGUACUGUGCUUAUGGGUUCUGUAACCUGAAAAUCUUCUUAUUAAAUACCUGGUUACUUACUUACAUGAUACAGGCCUACCUUCAGGAGCCCACCAGCAUCACCGCCUUAUUAAAAGACUGGUUCAAUGAGAUGAAACGACCUAUGCCCCAUUUCAGCAGGAAGUAGCUAGAUCCGUCGCCGCCCCAAAUCCCUCAAGAUUGAGGGAGGACAUAAAAUAGGGGGGAGUUGAUAUCGACCCUGAUAUCAGUUUCCCCACAUUAAACUCAGCAUGUAUGGGGUUAAAACCAAAACACUCAUUCCCUGCUUACUCUCUGGCUUCCUGGCUCCAGAAUCCACUAUCCUCCAUGAAGACAGACACCGCCAAGGACAAGCACCUGGACUAUCUCCUCCCGCAAAGAGAUCCGGGCUGAUGGGGAAGCUCCAACCAGCAAGGCCAUAUGCUCCCCCUCCCCUACCUAAAACCCCAAAUAAAAACCCUUCCUUUUAGCUUUUCGGGGAGUUUGGGAUUUCAGCGUUAGCUACCCUCUCUCCUUGCUCAGCACUGUGCAAAAAUAAAGUUCCUACUUUCUUCCACCACCCCCCGUGUCAGAGAUUGGCUUGCUGCACAACGGGUGAGGGAACUCACUUCAUGAUUGGUAACAACAUGACCUCCUUUCACCUCAGUUACUUCUUCAAAGGCACUGUCUUCAAACACAGUCACAGGCUGAGGUACUAGGAGUUAGGACCUUGUCAUAUGAAUUUUGAGGGGGACACAAUUCAGUCCGUAACAAGAGGGAAGGGAAUAUCUUGUUUCUAGACAUUUUCUUUCUUCCACUGGAAUACACUCAAAUGAAUACAAAGUCCCCUCCUAGAGUUUAUCCUCUUUUCCUACUGUGUCUGUUGAGUAGCCAUCAUCCAGCCAUAAGUUCUUCUCGGGUUGUUCUUUGUUCUAAAUGCAAGGCUCCUUUGGGAUCAUCAGCCCCCUCUCAGAUCCUUACAUGCC
rnacentral:lncRNA from 1 species